rnacentral:rRNA from 1 species
AGUAACACGUGGGUAACCUGCCUUAUAGUGGGGGAUAGCCUUUCGAAAGGAAGAUUAAUACCGCAUAAGAUUGUAGUACCGCAUGAUAUAGCAAUUAAAGGAGCAAUUCGCUAUAAGAUGGACCCGCGUCGCAUUAGCUAGUUGGUGAGGUAAUGGCUCACCAAGGCGACGAUGCGUAGCCGACCUGAGAGGGUGAACGGCCACAUUGGGACUGAGACACGGCCCAGACUCCUACGGGAGGCAGCAUG